UACAGAGCAGAGGGUGUCCCACACUGAUGAGCAAUCCUAGUUCAGUCUGAUUUGAACUUCAGCUUAGUGUGAAAGGACUGACGCUUUAGCCAGUGGGCAAACUUCCCCCUCAACUGAUCACUGCUGCAAAAGCAGCCUGACAACAGACAGCCAAGUCAAGAAUUAACCUGCCAGUGGAGAUGACAAACUUCAAGAAAAGCUCAUGAGUCCAGCGGUGAAGCAGUGAAGCAGCUCCAAGCACAGCAGCACCUCAGCUGACCUGCAGCAGGAGACUCAAUCAGAACACUGCUGUGUGUCCUUGCGCUCAGAGACAGAGGAACUAGGAGGAGAAUCAGGAGGUGUGGAAGAGACAGACUGGGUGUUGCUGUUGAGAUAAUGGAGCUCAAAGAUGGAGAUCCAACAGUCUGCACUUGGGAUGUCAGAGAUGAGCAUAUAGUAGAGAGGCAGGAGCAGCGUACAAGGUGCCACCUGCUUACCAGACAUUCAUACACCAAUGGAACAGCCAGCAGGAGCAAAAGGGUACUUUGACAUGCAGCCUGGUGGUGCUGGGAAUCCGACUGCUAGUCUUCUGAUUAGUGAAAACUUGCUCUAUUUCCUGAGCCACAGCCACCCCAUAGUAUAAUCUUGCUCUAGGGCGUCUGAGAAGUGGUAAUGAAGAAGGGUCAUGGACUGCUUUUUCACUUACCCCACCAAGAUUUAAUCUGCUGGGAUCAAACUGUCCACCCUCCAAAGGUUACCUGCCUGUCCCAUCACACGUAAGAAUGUUCAGCCUGUCAAUAAAUAAUGAAUAAAUAAUGAGGACAUAAGUAAACAGGAAAGAAGAAAAAAGAGAAAAAGAAAAGGCAAGGGAGAAAAAAAUGAAUUAAAAAAAAUACAGCAGAAAGGAAGGGAGAAGAAGAUAGG